rnacentral:tRNA from 1 species
UCUCGCGUCGUCUAACGGUAGGAUGUCAGAUUUUGGCUCUGAAGAUACUGGUUCGAAACCAGUCGCGAGAUCCA